GAUCAUGGCUCAGGACGAACGCUGGCGGCGUGCCUAACACAUGCAAGUCGAACGGAAGUUAGAGCUUCGGUUUUAACUUUAGUGGCGAACGGGUGAGUAACGCGUGAGGAACCUGCCUUUCAGUGGGGGGACAACAGUUGGAAACGACUGCUAAUACCGCAUGAUACUUUUGGGAGACAUCUCCUGGAAGCCAAAGCUUUAUGUGCUGAAGGAUGGCCUCGCGUCUGAUUAGCUAGUUGGUGAGGUAACGG
rnacentral:rRNA from 1 species